rnacentral:rRNA from 1 species
CAAUAGCGUAUAUUAAAGUUGUUGCAGUUAAAAAGCUCGUAGUUGGAUUUCUGGUGGGGGUCGCUGGUCCGCUGCGAAAGCGGCGUGUACCGAUGCGUACCUACCGCCAUCCUCGGGGGGACUGCGUGUGGGAUUAGUUUCUCGUGCGUAUGGACGCCCGUCUUUUACUGUGAAAAAAUUAGAGUGUUCAAAGCAGGCUGAGGCCGUUGAAUACAUUAGCAUGGAAUAAUAAGAUAGGACCUUGGCGGUCUAUUUUGUUGGUUUGCACGCCAAGGUAAUGAUUAAUAGGGAUAGUUGGGGGUAUUCGUAUUCAAUUGUCAGAGGUGAAAUUCUUAGAUUUAUGGAAGACGAACUACUGCGAAAGCAUUUACCAAGGAUGUUUNCAUUA